rnacentral:rRNA from 1 species
AUUGAACGCUGGCGGCAGGCCUAACACAUGCAAGUCGAGCGAGCGGCGGACGGGUGAGUAAUGUAUGGGGACUGCCCGAUAGAGGGGGAUAACUACUGGAAAAGGUGGCUAAUACCGCAUACUAUCGGAUAACCCAUAUGGGAUUAGCUAGUAGGUGGGGUAAAGGCUCACCGAGGCGACGAUCCCUAGCGGGUCUGAGAGGCUGAGCAGCCACACUGGGACUGAGACACGGCCCAGACUCCUACGGAGGCAGCAGUGGGGAAUAUUGCACAAUGGGCGCAAGCCUGAUGCAGCCAUGCCGCGUGUAUGAAGAAGGCCUUAGGGUUGUAAAGUACUUUCAGCGUGGAGGCGUUACUCGCAGAAGAAGCACCGGCUAACUCCGUGCCAGCAGCCGCGGUAAUAC